UACGGAGGAUCCAAGCGUUAUCCGGAAUCAUUGGGUUUAAAGGGUCCGUAGGCGGUUUGGUAAGUCAGUGGUGAAAGCCCAUCGCUCAACGGUGGAACGGCCAUUGAUACUGCCAGACUUGAAUUAUUAGGAAGUAACUAGAAUAUGUAGUGUAGCGGUGAAAUGCUUAGAGAUUACAUGGAAUACCAAUUGCGAAGGAC
rnacentral:rRNA from 1 species